GACGAACGCUGGCGGCGUGCUUAACACAUGCAAGUCGAACGGAAAGGCCCUGCUUGCAUGGUACUCGAGUGGCGAACGGGUGAGUAACACGUGGGUGAUCUGCCCUGCACUUCGGGAUAAGCCUUGGCAACUGGGUCUAAUACCGGAUAGGAGCCAUUUUUAGUGUGAUGGUUGGAAAGUUUUUUCGGUGUAGGAUGAGCUGGCGGCCUAUUAGCUUGUUGGUGGGGUAAUGGCCUACCAAGGCGGCGACGGGUAGCCGGCCUGGGGGGGUGGACGGCCAUAUAGGGACUGAGGUGAGGCAGAAGCUGGGACUGGAGGAAGAAGGGGGGAAUAUUGAACAAUGGGAGCAAGGCUGAUGCAGCAGGGCCGCGGGGGGGAUGACGGCCUUGGGGGUGAAAAAACGUUGCGCUAGAAAAGAAGCUUUUUGUGACGGUACCUAAAGAAGAAGCACCGGCUAACUACGUG
rnacentral:rRNA from 1 species